AUUGAACGCUGGCGGCAUGCCUAACACAUGCAAGUCGAGCGGAGCGGCGGACGGGUGAGUAAUGCCUAGGAAUCUUCCUGGUAGUGGGGGAUAACGUCCGGAAACGGCCGCUAAUACCGCAUACUAUCAGAUGAGCCUCGGUCGGAUUAGCUAGUUGGUGCGGUAAUGGCUUACCAAGGCUACGAUCCGUAACUGGUCUGAGAGGAUGAUCAGUCACACUGGAACUGAGACACGGUCCAGACGCCUACGGGAGGCAGCAGUGGGGAAUAUGGGACAAUGGGCGAAAGCCUGAUCCAGCCAUGCCGCGUGUGUGAAGAAGGUCUUCGGAUUGUAAAGCACUUUAAGUUGGGAGGCGUUACCAAAAGAAUAAGCACCGGCUAACUCCGUGCCAGCAGCCGCGGUAAUAC
rnacentral:rRNA from 1 species